ensembl:misc_RNA 7SK 7SK RNA
AGAUGUGAGGGCUCUCUGGCUGUGACAUGUUACCUCACUGAUCCCCAGGGUUGAUUCAGCUCAUCUGGCUGACUCGGCAGGCAUCCCCUUCCUCCCUCACUGCUCCAUGUGUGUCCCUCCCGAAGCUGCAUGCUUGGUCAGAGAGGAUGACCAUCCCUAAUAGAGGAGGACUGGUCUUGGGUCAAGGGUGUAUGAAUAUCUGCGCUCCCCUGCUAGAACCUUGGAACAAGCUCUCAAGGUCCAAAUAGUGGAAAAUGCAAGUACAGGUUGAUUCAUGUUGGCAGGUUUUGGUAUUUAAAAAAGGUAAAAAGCACAA